AUUGAACGCUGGCGGCAUGCCUUACACAUGCAAGUCGAACGGCAGCACGGGAGCAAUCCUGGUGGCGAGUGGCGAACGGGUGAGUAAUAUAUCGGAACGUGCCCAGUCGUGGGGGAUAACGCAGCGAAAGCUGUGCUAAUACCGCAUACGAUCUAAGGAUGAAAGCGGGGGAUCGCAAGACCUCGCGCGAUUGGAGCGGCCGAGAUCAGAUUAGCUAGUUGGUGGGGUAAAGGCCCACCAAGGCGACGAGCCGUAGCUGGUCUGAGAGGACGACCAGCCACACUGGAACUGAGACACGGUCCAGACUCCUACGGGAGGCAGCAGUGGGGAAUUUUGGACAAUGGGCGCAAGCCUGAUCCAGCAAUGCCGCGUGCAGGAUGAAGGCCUUCGGGUUGUAAACUGCUUUUGUACGGAACGAAACGGCCCUUUCUAAUACAGGGGGCUAAUGACGGUACCGUAAGAAUAAGCACCGGCUAACUACGUGCCAGCAGCCGCCGUAA
rnacentral:rRNA from 1 species